UAACGUAUAGAAAUCGCGACACGUACGAAGAAAAUGCUGUUCGAACUUUUCCAUCCGGUUCUAAAGCUGACUAAAUUUUCAAAGUUUCGCUCAAUGCCGUUUCUAGAGAAGGGUGGUUCAGGGGUACUGCAGGUUGUAACGAGCCUAAAAUGGACAUAUUUGUAGAUAUGUUAAACACAGCAAGCCCAAAGAUACGCCACUGGUGACUACAAUCCGUAUAGUUUUAUUGUUUGUUUAAUUAAUCAAGUGCCCGUGGUCACGAACGAUGUUAUUAGUUGGCGUUAAAGUUUUUGCAUGUACGUUAUUAGUGCGCGUUCGCUGGUUAGCUUCUGUUCGGAUUGUAAAAUGAUGAAAUUGAACAAUUACGAAUUAUAUUUCUUGUGUUCGUCAAUAAUUUGCAAGUACAUACAUUUUGCAUUUGAGUAAGUCCUGUCGCGUCGUGUUUGUUUUCGAUUGUCUUUCGGGAGUGUCGACGUCGUGCGCCGCGCUUUCGUGGUAACAGUUUUAGACUAAAAUUGUACUUUGAACAUUAAGAGUGCGUAAUAGUGUUACAUUAUCUUAUUAACAUGAUACUUAUCCGAAUUAUAGUUAUUAUAAUUAACUGUCAUCCAUCUAAGUGAUGUGUGCAACCCGCAGAACAAUCAGCGGUCUCUUGAC